ensembl:lncRNA
UUAGGAUUAGGCAAUCAAGUAGCGACUUCAACGAGGGGGUGCAUAAUGUGGCAGGGGUGCAGAAUUCGGCACAACACAUGCGCGGAGCUGCGGCGCGCUGACGCGGGGAUGGAGAGCUCAGAUGCGCUGCUGCUUUCAACCUUUUCUGGCCGCUCUUCUGCGCCGGAACUUUAAAUCACGGUUCAUCAGGCAUUUCCUGGACUUCCUGGUUUCUUGGCCCAGUCCAGCUGUGAGUCCACCUGCUCCGCUCGGAGAUUCAGCUCGCUUUCCCAUGACGGCUGGAGUCAAUUAACGGCUCAGAAAAACCACAACGUUGAGGUGAAUUUAGAUGCGACUGUCUGCUGAAUGGAGAAAAAGAGUCCAACGCUGCAGUGACAGAUUCUUGGAGUUUCCUGGUGUGGAGUCCACAAAGAAAAGAUGCAUCAAUAGGCAGUCCCAGUCUCAAGACACACCCUGGAAUGAACACAAUGUUCAGAUGCUGAGAUGGAUUGAGAGACUCAUCAGAGAAAGACAUUUGAUACAGAAGAGGCCUAAAGCAUAUAUUAUGAUCACUUCAACAGAUCGACCACUGGCGGCAGCGCAACAAACACCUGACAACAUUACGAAUGCGCCUGCAAAUCUCUUUAGGGCCGCCUGUUUGUGUUCACAGACGAAUUUGGGCACCGGAGACGGCGGCGGUGCGUCAGGAUUGUUGUGGAAAGUUUGUUCUGAACAGCCAAGCCAAAGACCGACAUCUUCUCCCACUUCGUACAUUACGCCUUGUUUAUCAUUCAGUCUCGAUGGUUCCCGUCGAAAGAAAAAUAGCAGUUGAAAUAUGUGAUGGCUGAUUUGAGGCAAGCGGAUGGGGCUUAAGUGUGAGUGGAAAGAAGAACAGAAGUGUUUCCAUCAGACCGCUUCUCCUAAUCCUGACGCUCAGCCACUGGAAGAAGCGGCUUUCCUCCGGACAUGUGUUCAUUAUUAAUCCAGGAACUCCUCACACUUCAGGAAUCCUUACAGGUUUUGCUUCACUGUGGUAUUAUCCAGACUCCAGUUGAAGCAUAUCCCUUGUCAGAAAGUUCAUGUUGUAUCAGAGUCAAGGCUGGAGCUGAUUUCAGAUUGCCUGGUGGAUUUCAGUUUUUUUGAUCCAUGGCUCUAAAUAUGAGAAUUUUUAUAUUUAUGGCAGUCAUUAAAAGCACUGUAAUGCAUCUGCGAUGAAAUUACUGCUGAUAAAAGAUGCAAAUGGCAAAUAGUGUCAAUUAUGUAAUUUUGUACAGACAUUACUUUCCAAAUUAAAACAAAGCUUUGAAAUGUUGGCGACU